UACGUAGGGGGCAAGCGUUAUCCGGAUUUACUGGGUGUAAAGGGAGUGUAGACGGCAAGGCAAGUCUGAAGUGAAAGCCCGGUGCUUAACGCCGGGACUGCUUUGGAAACUGUUUAGCUGGAGUGCCGGAGAGGUAAGCGGAAUUCCUAGUGUAGCGGUGAAAUGCGUAGAUAUUAGGAAGAACACCAGUGGCGAAGGCGGCUUACUGGACGGUAACUGACGUUGAGGCUCGAAAGCGUGGGGAGCAAACAGG
rnacentral:rRNA from 1 species